rnacentral:rRNA from 1 species
UACGAAGGGGGCUAGCGUUGCUCGGAAUCACUGGGCGUAAAGGGUGCGUAGGCGGGUCUUUUAAGUCAGGGGUGAAAUCCUGGAGCUCAACUCCAGAACUGCCUUUGAUACUGAGGAUCUUGAGUUCGGGAGAGGUGAGUGGAACUGCGAGUGUAGAGGUGAAAUUCGUAGAUAUUCGCAAGAACACCAGUGGCGAAGGCGGCUCACUGGCCCGAUACUGACGCUGAGGAGCGAAAGCGUGGGGAGCGAACAGG